rnacentral:tRNA from 1 species
GCUUUGGUGGUUCAGUGGUAGAAUUCUCUCUUUCCAUGGGGGAGUCCCAGGUUCGAUUCCUGGCAGAUGCA